GUUACAGGACGCUCGCUAACGGUUAGCUGUAACUUCAGAUGAACGUUUACGUGAAAUGUAACGUUACUUCUUUAAAAACAGGUUUUGUCACACGAAAGAGUGGAAGAUCACGAUGACCUCAUGCACAUAUUUGCAGAGCAGAUCACGCCACUGGUGGAGUCCCACGGGCCUUACUUCCUGUCUGAGCUCAUCGAGGCUCAGGACGCAGAGAACCAUGCAGCUGUCUGCGAAUGUGAGUGGUAACAUGGAUUUGAAGCUAUUCAAUAAGUGGUUUAAACUUGAAGAAUCUGAAGGAUUGAGAAAGACAAAUCCAGCACAUCAAGAGGAAAAACCAGAGGAAAAACAUCCACUGUGGGAGGAACAUAAUAUCUCUAAUGCCCAGCAAUAUGAUGAAGCCAAAGUACCUGUGCAAUUUUACAGGGUGAACGGAUGGCGGAGGAGGAGACAUAUAUCAGCCAGAGUGUUUUGA
ensembl:lncRNA